ACUGUGUCAUGACACUGAGCCUGUUUACACGACCAUAAAAGAUCAAUAACUGGGAGUAAUCAGAUAAUUGUAAUAAGCAGAUGUAACACAUUUACAUGCACUUAAGAAAU